rnacentral:lncRNA from 1 species
CUAAUAUGCCGAAAAAUGUCACUUUUCAGAUGGUUUUUGGUAAAAAUGAAAGUGGCCGCAUCCGUGUUCAUCCUCAACCUUUAUAUAUGUUAUGUAUUAUCAUAAAAUACAACUUACAUUUCAAUAUUAAGGAUGAACACGAAUGCGGCCACUUUCGUUUUACACGAAAACCGUCUAAAAUUUAACUAAAAUGCUAGAAUUAUGAGGAUUUCAGUAAUUUAGCAUGACUAAAUGGUGCUAGUACCGGAUAUAUGUACAUUGUAUUGUCAAAAACAGCCCAUAUUUAUGUAGCAGAAGCAUUCUUCUGUCCAAUAAAUAACUAAAGGUUUACAUUUUAACAAUUUUGUAAAACUGCUAUAUUUUGG